rnacentral:rRNA from 1 species
GACGAACGCUGGCGGCGUGCCUAACACAUGCAAGUCGAACGGAGUAGAGCCCUUCGGGACUUUACUUAGUGGCGAACGGGUGAGUAACGCGUGAGGAACCUGCCUUCCAGUGGGGGACAACAGUUGGAAACGACUGCUAAUACCGCAUGAUGCUUUUGAGGGACAUCCCUUAACAGCCAAAGCUUCAUGUGCUGGAAGAUGGCCUCGCGUCUGAUUAGCUAGUUGGUGGGGUAACGGCCCACUAAGGCGACGAUCGGUAGCCGGUCUGAGAGGAUGAGCGACCACAUUGGGACUGAGAUACGGCCCAGGCUCCUACGGAAGGCAGCAGUGGGGAAUAUUGCACAAUGGGCGCAAGCCUGAUGCAGCCAUGCCGCGUGUAUGAGGAAGGCCUUCGGGUUGUAAAGUACUUUCAGCGGGGAGGAAGGCGGUGAAGUUAAUAACUUCACCGAUUGACGUUACCCGCAGAAGAAGCACCGGCUAACUCCGUGCCAGCCGCCGCGGUAA